AUUGGAUUCAGCGAAAGAUCCACCUUUACAAUGUGACAUUUGGGCUUUUUAUGUUGGAUUGGUGGGAGCGUUGUACUUUUAAUAUUUUGGUGAUUGUACUAAUGUGUUUUGUAGUACGCUACAUAGCCCAGUUCAUCAAGAGCAAAAUACCAUUCUAAUCUCAGCAUCUGAUUUAGCUCUAGUUUCCCAUUCUGCAUAUGCAAGUGUAGAAAUGAACACACUUUCUUAACCUUUAAAUAAAGUUGCAUUCAAAAGAUGAAUGCUUGAGAUCUUCAAUUAGUCUGUACUCUAUUGCUGAAGCUUCAUAGACUGCAAUUCUAACAUUAGCAGGUAUGUCUUUUUGUGGUAAAGAAGCAAAAUCAUUUUCUUGAGAAGAUGCCAAUGUAGAUUUUUACUUGAAGAUUCAAAUUAGUUGCAGCCAGUGUAUUUGGCAUACAGCUGGUUAGGGAAUAUAUGUUGUAGCAGUUAUGUACCGGCUUUGAAGUUUCUUAAAGCGGCCAAAAAAAUUAGUGAUGUACACGUCUGUGAUACACCUUCAUGAAUGUUAUUUAAACAUUAAUUUGUUUAUAAGGUUGUUUAUGAUGUUGAUUGGCAUUUUCUACAUUGUAAUAUUAUUUUAGAUGUUCAUUUUCUGUUUGUUUUGAGCAUUUGAAAGUGUAUGCCCGUGCAGAUUACUAAUAAAGGUCUGAUAAACCCCA